rnacentral:rRNA from 1 species
UACGUAGGGGGCAAGCGUUGUCCGGAAUCAUUGGGCGUAAAGCGCGUGUAGGCGGCCAGAAAAGUCCGCUGUGAAAACUCGAGGCUCAACUUCGAGCUGUCGGUGGAAACUUUCUGGCUAGAGUCCGGAAGAGGAGAGUGGAAUUCCUGGUGUAGCGGUGAAAUGCGCAGAUAUCAGGAAGAACACCAAUGGCGAAGGCAGCUCUCUGGGACGGUACUGACGCUGAGACGCGAAAGCGUGGGGAGCGAACAGG